rnacentral:misc_RNA from 1 species
AGUUAUUAUUCCCACCAUAAAUGUGUACAUUGCAUGAAUAGGGACACAUGUCAUUUGAGACAACUAGAUUGCACAAGUCUAAAAAACGGGUUUUGUAGGAAGUACAUGUCUUCCACGAAAACUUGUAUUUAUAGAUAGGAUAAAACUAUUCACUACUGUUUACACCGUGUUAAAUUGAAACGGACAAGUUACUUUAUCUUAUGUGUGUAGUGGAUUCAUCCAAUUUUAUUUUGAUGUAUAAAAUUAUUUAGAUACUUUGAUGGGAUUAAAAUAGUGAAAAACAAUCGAUCGUUGGCUGUUUAGUCAAGUGUUGCAAGCACAGUACUAUAGUGCGAGGAAGCACAAGUACCAAGAGCAAUGGUAAACUCUAACUGGCAUACAGCAGUAGUUGGCCUACAACAUCUUAAGGAAGGGCUGGAAUGCUUUUGUGAUGAUGUAAUAAAGCAGCAACAUGGUCGAUUCAAGAUAUAUUGCCGUGAGAAUUGUACGGAAUGCGAGUUAAUAUCACUUAAACCUAAUCACAUCUGCGAUAGGGAAAACAAGUGCCCUCUUGGACAAAGUAGGUGUAACUGCCAAAAGCAGUCUCUUAGGCCAUGCCCAAAUGAGACAUGCAGUGUUAUAUAUGACGAAAUCAUAAAAGAUCAUGGAUCAAGCCCUCCGUCACCAAACUGGAAUAACACAGAUAUUAAACAGUGGUAUACGAACCCAUGGGCGAUUGCUGGUUGUUUCAUUAAAGGAACAGGAUAUGAUGUUCGGAAAUGCGCAGCGGAGUUUGAUUGUUCAGGUUUAUUGUCAGUCAUCAAAUACAACAAAGCCUUUCUUGCUCAUCUUCAAUGCGACAUUGAUGAUAAAGACGCUUUUACUAAGGCUAUUAAAAUAAGGAACGCACUUUUCCACUCAACUACGCUGGAAAUAAAAGAGGAACAGGCAUAUCAAUACAUCGACGAUAUGAUUGCUGUCCUUGAAGAUGGAAAGGAGUUAUUGCAUAGAAAGGAAUCAAGGGCUGCUGUUCAGAGAUUGAAAGCUCUGAAAGAGAGAAUUGGUCAUACAGAGACAAAUGACGAGAAGAUAAACGACGUUUUGAGGAAUACUAAACAAGACCCAAACAUCGCAAUACAAUACAUAAAAGAAAAAAUCAAAAGCAUUGACAAGGAUAGAGGUGAAACAAAUUCAGAAGACUUAGACUUCGAAUUGCCCGUUAAAGUCACAAAAAAACAAACAGAUCCACGAAAGGCAAUUGUACUGCUAACAAAAUGUGUCUAUGAGAUAUUGCUGAAAAUAGAGGAUAUAAAGAAGAGUAUAGGAGACAAAAUUGCUGAAGACUCCGAAUUGCUACACGCUGCGCAAGACAGCAUAUCAAAUGAUCCAACAUACGCACUACAGUUGCUUACAGUUGGAAUGUUGUGGCCGGAUGUAAGGCAGUUACAUAAGAAUGUGGUUAGAGGAACUAAAGAAGAAACCAAGAAGUACGAAAUGCCUACAAUUGAUCGACCACAUGACGGAAGACUCAUAACGUUAAGUAGAGAUGAAGUAAAAGGACUUCUAGAUAACUGUGACAGCAAUGCUGCUCGGAAAGGAGGGUUUGGUGAGGUAUAUUUUACGGAGAAGGAAGUACCUGGAUUAAAUAUCCGUGUAGCAAUCAAGAAGAUUGACUGCAGGAAAGAGAACGAACAUUAUUCGGAGAAAUUGCGAUCUGCAUCUAAUGAAAAGAUAGCAUCAAGAGUGAUGCAUUUUGCAAUUGUGCCAUUAAUUGCUUAUAUGGACGAGGAUCUUGAUUACAACAGAAGGGCUUUUUAUUUUAUUUCACCGUAUUUUGAGAAUAGAAGCUUACGUGAAGUUAUAGCAAAGGACAAGCAAUGUUCGAAUAUCAAGAAUAUUCAUCUAAGUAGCUUCAGACGCAAAAAAAUAUUAUUUCAGACUGCAUCUGCUCUAGAUUAUCUUCAUACACCGGUGCUUGGCUCUAGAGGUAUAGUCCUGCACAUGGAUCUUUCAAGCACAAAUAUUGUGCUAGACAAAAAUUGGAAUGCAAGGCUGAUUGACUUUGGUUUAGGGCGUGAAAUGGGCGAAGGAAAGUCAGCGGUUACACUUACUCGGUCAAAGAUGUUCGGGCAAUCAGGAUAUUGGCCUACGGACAACUAUUCAAAACUCACAGUAUAUGACGAGCAUUACAAUUUCGGAGUUGUAACAAGAGAACUUCUUACGGGAAUAGCGCCAUUCAUUAACGAAGAAACCCAACUAAGAAAAUCAAGCGAAAGGAUCAUUGAAUUGCAACUGCAGAAAAACAUUUGGACGGAAUUAGAAGAAGCGUCGAUCCUUAUCAAACUCUCAACAAAAUGUUUAAAAAGCAGGAAAGAUAAAAACGUUUCUUCUGCAGACAUAUUGAAAGACAUUAAAAAGAUGUUUCAAGAUCAGAGUUCAACACGUAGUACUAGUAACACAAGUACAUGUGAUUUAUGCAUUGUUAACCCAUCAGUUGAUGGAAAACGAGCUCCUCCGCAUCAGUGUUCAGAACGAGUGAACGUGUGUACUUCAUGCAUGAGAAAUUCGCACGUAAAUCCGAUCAGAUGUCCAACAUGCAAUGAAACGGUUUUUCCAAAAAUCGGACACACCUAUGCAGCAGUUUUGAUUGCUGGGAAUGAUGACAAGAAUGAAGGGUUGGCGAAGUCUUUCAGAAGUGACGUCUUGGCUUUAAAGGAUGUUCUGUCUUCUAAGUGUCCUUGUGUAAUUGGAAUAAGAGACGAAAAUAUCAAGCUGAUUGCUCCUUCUAGCCCUGGAAAGGCAGAUAAACUCAAUUUACAAGUUCAUGAGGCAUUUCGUUCUUUGGAAUCCAAGCAGAACUUAGGCACACUGUUGGUAUACUUCACUGGACAUUAUUCCCCAGACAAAGGAUUCACUCUUGGUGGUCCAGACGAUGUACUUACGUUGACUGAAAUACAAGACGAAAUAAGAAAUAUUUACACACAAUGGGGGGAAACUGCGAGGAUACUUAUGUUUCUAGACUGUUGCGAGGCUCCAUGUGUCACUAAUAUUCCAAAACUCUAUGUAAAAAUGAUUCAGAUUAAUGCAUGUAGACCGGCCGAAACGUGUUAUGAGCCUGUGUCUGGCAGCAAAUUCCGAAUUUUCUUUUGUCAAGCUCUAACAAGAAGAGCUUUCAACAAAAAAUGUUAUAAUUUUAAUCGUUCCUCUUUGGAGACCGAAUGUGAAGACUGUGUGAUGUCAGAAGAAAUUAUUACAGUGCAUCAGCUUCAAACAUACAUAGAAAAACACAUGGACAAAUGUUUUAAGGGAAAGGACCCCAUACUGUAUGUGCACGGUGCCACGGCAGAUGACUCAUGCAUCGGAUACAAUGUCGACUUUGUUGUCGACCUGAAGUUUUUGUUCAAGGCAGAAUCAGGAACAACAGAUGUUGUUAUCAAACAUGAAAUGUUUUGCGAUAUCAAGUCCUUAAAGAAACACAUACUUGAAACAGUUCUUGUAUGAUGUUAUGUUCAACUCAGCCUCGUCUGAAAACGACAUAAUCAUUAGUGUUUAACAUCCGAACAUAAAUUAUAAGCUUCACAGUAUGAAAACGAAAACAGAUUUUAAUUUGAUGUAGGUGAGACAGCUUUUGAUGGAAAGUUGAAACUGACACCAGUGGAGUUUUCUGAUGCGGUCGCUUUACACAUUCAUGAUGGAUCACAACAUGGACUAGAGCUCGUAUCAAUGCAAAAUGUAUCAU